rnacentral:rRNA from 1 species
AUUGAACGCUGGCGGCAUGCUUUACACAUGCAAGUCGAACGGUAACAGGCCGCAAGGUGCUGACGAGUGGCGAACGGGUGAGUAGUGCAUCGGAACGUGCCCAGUCGUGGGGGAUAACGCAGCGAAAGCUGCGCUAAUACCGCAUACGAUCUAUGGAUGAAAGCGGGGGACCGUAAGGCCUCGCGCGAUUGGAGCGGCCGAUGUCAGAUUAGGUAGUUGGUGGGGUAAAGGCUCACCAAGCCGACGAUCUGUAGCUGGUCUGAGAGGACGACCAGCCACACUGGGACUGAGACACGGCCCAGACUCCUACGGGAGGCAGCAGUGGGGAAUUUUGGACAAUGGGCGCAAGCCUGAUCCAGCAAUGCCGCGUGCAGGAAGAAGGCCUUCGGGUUGUAAACUGCUUUUGUACGGAACGAAAAGGCUCUGGUUAAUACCUGGGGCUCAUGACGGUACCGUAAGAAUAAGCACCGGCUAACUACGUGCCAGCCGCCGCGGUAACAC